AAACUGGCAGGCUUGAGUCUUGUAGAGGGGGGUAGAAUUCCAGGUGUAGCGGUGAAAUGCGUAGAGAUCUGGAGGAAUACCGGUGGCGAAGGCGGCCCCCUGGACAAAGACUGACGCUCAGGUGCGAAAGCGUGGGGAGCAAACAGGAUUAGAUACCCUGGUAGUCCACGCCGUAAACGAUGUCUACUUGGAGGUUGUGCCCUUGAGGCGUGGCUUCCGGAGCUAACGCGUUAAGUAGACCGCC
rnacentral:rRNA from 1 species